UGUAGUCAUAUGCUUGUCUCAAAGAUUAAGCCAUGCAUGUCUAAGUAUAAGCACUCUUUUACUGUGAAACUGCGAAUGGCUCAUUAAAUCAGUUAUCGUUUAUUUGAUAGUACCCUACUACAUGGAUACCUGUGGUAAUUCUAGAGCUAAUACAUGCGCAAAACCCCGACUUCGGAAGGGGUGUAUUUAUUAGAUAAAAAACCAAUGCCCUUCGGGGCUCCUUGGUGAUUCAUAAUAACUUCACGAAUCGCAUGGCCUUGCGCCGGCGAUGGUUCAUUCAAAUUUCUGCCCUAUCAACUUUCGAUGGUAGGAUAGUGGCCUACCAUGGUGGCAACGGGUAACGGGGAAUGGGGCGGG
rnacentral:rRNA from 1 species